rnacentral:lncRNA from 1 species
CUACUAAGGUCGAUAGAUUCCAUGUAGAUGCAUCCAACUCCAAAUAGUGAACUUGAACCUACAAUAGCCAACAUACACAGUAAGGACCUGAAUGGUAAGGGACCAAGAGAACGUGCAGUCAAACUAAGUAGCCUCGCUGUGAAUAGUCAAUACACCAUAGGUCAAAGGACUAGUCACACCACUGUAGCAUCCAGAAAACUGUGAUGAGUGAGUAGACAUCCAAGUAGUUUCUCGUGUUGGUCACACUCAGUACAAGUUGAUCUCUAACAACUACCGCACUCUCGUCCCAGUGUCUCUACACCAC